GACGAACGCUGGCGGCGUGCUUAACACAUGCAAGUCGAACGGAAAUGCGAGAAGCUUGCUUUUCUUAGCUUUGUCGCAAACGGGUGAGUAACGCGUGAGUAACCUGCCCUGGAGUGGGGUACAACAGGGGGACACGACUGCAUAUAGCACAUAAGCCCACGAUCCGUGACAGUAUUGAGGGAUAAUGCUUUAUUCGCUUCAGGAUGGGCUCGCGUCCAAUUGGCUAGUUGGUGAGGUAACGGCGCACCAAGGGGUCGAAUGGUAGCCGGAGUGAGAGGUCGAACGGCCAGAUUUGGACUGCGACACAGCCCCGUCUGCGACGCGGCGCAGCAGUGGGGGGUACUGCACGAGGGAGGCAACCCUAACGCAGCGACGCCGCGUGUGGGAACAUGGUUUUCGGAUUGUAAACUCCUGUCGUGAGAGACGAUAGUGACGGUACCUAACAAGGAAGCACCGGCUAACUACGUG
rnacentral:rRNA from 1 species